GAAUCAGACGGCUACAUUGCUGCCACCCUGUCACGUAACACACAGGGAGUCAAUGACACAACCUACAUCUGUGCAAAUAACAAUGGUGUAGUCAAAUUCUUCAGUGCUCUUCUGAACAACGGCAAGCUGACUCGCACACCGCUUAAAGUCAACAAUGUGAGGGGCAAAGUCAGUGGAAAGAACAUCCAGUGUCAGUUUGCUGCCACAGUACCAGACUCUACUAGCACCACAACUAGAGCAGACACAAGCACUA